rnacentral:rRNA from 1 species
GACGAACGCUGGCGGCGUGCUUAACACAUGCAAGUCGAACGGAAAGGCCCGGCUUUUGGGGGGUGCUCGAGUGGCGAACGGGUGAGUAACACGUGAGUAACCUGCCCUUGACUUGGGGAUAACUUCAGGAAACUGGGGCUAAUACCGGAGAGGAGCUCCUGCGGCAGGGUGGGGGGUGGAAAGGUUCGGCGGUUGGGGAUGGACUCGCGGCUUAUCAGCGUGUUGGUGGGGUAGUGGCUUACCAAGGCUUUGACGGGUAGCCGGCCUGAGAGGGUGACCGGCCACAUUGGGACUGAGAUACGGCCCAGACUCCUACGGGAGGCAGCAGUGGGGAAUAUUGCACAAUGGGCGGAAGCCUGAUGCAGCAGCGCCGCGUGCGGGAUGACGGCCUUCGGGUUGUAAACCGCUUUCGCCUGUGACGAAGCGUGAGUGACGGUAAUGGGUAAAGAAGCACCGGCUAACUACGUG